rnacentral:rRNA from 1 species
CAGUAGCCGCGGGAAUACGAGGGGGGCAAGCGUUGUUCGGAAUUAUUGGGCGUAAAGGGCGCGUAGGCGGUUUGGCAAGUUUGGUGUGAAAUCUUCGGGCUCAACUCGAAGUCUGCACCGAAAACUGCCGGGCUUGAGUAUGGGAGAGGUGAGUGGAAUUUCCGGUGUAGCGGUGAAAUGCGUAGAUAUCGGAAGGAACACCUGUGGCGAAAGCGGCUCACUGGACCAUUACUGACGCUGAGGCGCGAAAGCUAGGGGAGCAAACAGGAUUAGAUACCCCAGUAGUCCCUGUCUCUUAUAC